rnacentral:rRNA from 1 species
UACAGAGGGGGCGAGCGUUGUUCGGAAUUACUGGGCGUAAAGGGUGCGUAGGCGGCGCGGUAAGUCGGGUGUGAAAUCUCGGAGCUUAACUCCGAAACUGCAUUCGAUACUGCCGUGCUUGAGGACUGGAGAGGAGACUGGAAUUUACGGUGUAGCGGUGAAAUGCGUAGAUAUCGUAAGGAAGACCAGUGGCGAAGGCGGGUCUCUGGACAGUUCCUGACGCUGAGGCACGAAGGUCAGGGGAGCAAACGGG